AAAAUUUGUGUUUUAGAAUUUUAACAGAACCAAAAUUAUGGGCUCGCCGCUUUUUUUUUAUAACUUUUAUCACGUUACUAUGUCUAUUUUCAUUGAUGAAUAGGGCUGAAGCUAAUCAAUUUAAAAUUGUGGGAGGUUUCGAAGUCAAUACCUCGGAUGCUCCAUAUAUGGCAUCAUUGCGUUAUGUACACGAAGAGGCUGAUGCACUGGGCAGUGGACAUUUUUGUGGUGGGACUAUUAUUAAAGAUCGUGUAAUUAUUACAGCAGCUCAUUGCAUAUUUAGAAAGAACCAAACUGAUGUAUCGGUUGUAGUGGGAUCCAAGUAUCUUUUCCACAGUUGGCCGACAACGAAGAAGCUGAAAGUCUCAUAUUGGACCUAUCCUGUAAAAACCCGUUAAUGGGGCGAUCGCAUUUCUGCCCCUUAACACGGUGGAAAUAAGCCCUGGUACUAAAUGUCUAUUGUCUGGAUGGGGUCGAGUUGAGCACGAUGAAUUCAAUACUUCAAACAGUCUGCAGGCAACGUGGCAAAGGCUUCUAGACAAAAAGGCAUGUUUUAAGGUAAUUCGUCUGUAUAACAUAUUAUGCUCCGACUCAGGGGGUUCGACUGGAGCCGGUCUUGGUGAUACAGGUGGUCCGUUGCGAUGCAACGAUAAACUUGCGGGUGUUAUCUUCGCCACAAACUUCAAAGGUAGCGUCUUAUAUGUAGAUGUCCGGACAUUUGCCGAUUGGAUAGAAGAACAGAUUAGGAAUAAUGGAAUAAUGCCACUUGGCUCGUUUUGCAUUGAGAAGCACGUUGUUUUGGCCAUCAGCAUUUGUGUGGCCACCAUUUGCAAGCCGGGCAUUCUAGACUUUUCGUCGUACUCAAACUAAGCCGAGUUAUUUCCGAUGAGUCCGUAGGUUUUUAUUAUUUUAUUAUUUUAUUUCAUUAAAGAUUCCAAAUUUCCUCUGAUAUUGAUGAUGAUGUUAUUGUAUUUACAUCUCAGCCAUACAAUAUCCAUUUUAUGAUCUCUAAAUAUCUGUAAAAAUAUGUACUCUUUCAAAUUCAAUAACACUUUCAAAAUCAUAAAUGAAAUGAAUAAACGGAUA
rnacentral:sRNA from 1 species